CCCUGGGGGCGUGGCCCAGCCGCAGGCCCGAAGCGCGUGGCUGGGAGGGGCUGCGCGCGGCCCGUUCACCACGUGAGAGCGGGUGCUGGCCCCACCCGCGUGUGCCACCCCCGGGGGAGGUCACCUUCACCGAGUUGUGGGAGUGGGCGCUGAGGCCUCUAUCCUGGAAAGCAGGAGCUGACAGGGUUCGGGAAAAGGGUCUCAGAAGUGGCAUUCUCCUGGGUGAAGUGCAACUAUACCUAGUGGCUUGCUUCUGAUGAACAGAAUGUGGCAGAAAUGAUGCUGUGUGACAUUCGUGACAGGGCGCAGGUUUUGUGAUUUCCUCCUUGCUUUCUAUCUUGUAUCGCGUUUUCUGGGAGAAGCCACCUGCCAUGUUGUAAGGACACACUCAAGCAGCCCUGUGGGAAAGCUCAAGUGGCAAGGGACUGGGGCCUUCUGCCAAUAGCCAUGUGAGUGUGCCAUCUUGGAAUAGAUCCUCCAGCCCCCUUUUUUAAGUCAAACCUUUGGAGGACUGUGGCCCUGGCUGACAUCUCGACUACGGCCUCCUGGGAGACCCUUAGCUGGAACCACCCAGCUCAACUCUUUCCAGAUUGAUGAUCUACAGAAACUGAGAUGGUGUUUGCUUUGGAUAAAUGCACUGCAGAAACUCCGCAGCCUCAACAUAUACACAUUUAAACUGGAGGAUCCCAGACACACCAGGCUUGGCCUAUUCAGGGCCCUGACAGUGCACCCUGUCAAGGCCUGUGCAGCCCCACCGGGUACCCACUGCAGAGCAUCAAGGGACUCCUGCAGGUACCACUUCAGUUGUGCCAUGAGGCCAGAGGACUCCCCUGGUUUCCACUCUCACCAUUGUAUUCCCAGCACCUGGUGGAGCUUGGCACUAUGUAGGCUCUCAAUAUCUGUUCAGUGUCUGGGUGCCGUGGUAUACACGUGUAAUCCCAGCGGUUCUGGAGGCUAAGGCAGGAGGAUCACAAGUUCAAAGCCAGCCUCAGCAACUUAGCAAGGUCCUGAGCAACUUGGCAUAGACUGGUAUAGACUCUGUCUCAACAUGA